rnacentral:lncRNA from 1 species
GAGAGGGCAUUUUCUUAAAGACUAGAAGCACUCUAGUGUUGUAAAUAUUUUUCAAACACCCGUAAACUUAGUGGAUACCCAAAGAGAACUUAGAGAGUGGACGUAAGCAAUGAUUCGCCAAACCACUAUAAAUUGUUUGCACUCUCUUCUCUCUUCUUAUUGCUUAUUUAUUUGAUUAGAGUGCAUAGUAAAUUUAUUGUUAAGUAAACUUUUAAUUGGUUAUUAAGAGUAGCAAACCUAUUCACUCCUCAUAGUUUGAUUUUUAGCUAAGAGAAAUAAAAAUGAAAAAGGUAUGUGAUCCAAUAGUUUUGAACAAUUGGAUCGUCAGCUUUUUUUAUUUUUAUUUUAUUUUUUCUCACUAAAUUUAGAAUCCAAACACAAUCUUAGGGUGUGAAUUUCGAAAUCUACAAAUAUAAUAUAGGCUACGUUCAUUUGGUGUGAAUUCAGUUAGUGGUUGCAAUUAAGGUCUCUUGUAAGUACGAUAUGAAUAAUGUUUGAUUCUUUUAUGUUGUCUUUUUUUAGUUCUCUUUUUUGUGUGCUUGAUUAGAUUAGUUAUGUAAUUAAUUAUAACUCUAGUUGGACUGGGGCAAAUUAAAUUAAUUGAUUGUUAGAUUAUUAAUUAAUUAAUAUCAUGGUUAUAUCAUUGUGUGACAAGGGUUUGAUAAAUUACCGAAGCAUUUUUAUCCUAGUGACUAUAAUAUCCGAAAGCUUAGGUUGCGUUUCGAAAGGAAAGAAAUGGAAAAGAAUGGACACUAAUAAUUUUCCCUUUUCCAGGUUUCGUAUCUAGUUUUAAGAAGGAAAGUCAGUCAAAACUUAUUUUCUUUCUUGUUUUGAAAUUUUCUUUUCACAUUUUCACCUCUUAAUUUUAUCUAAAAUUAAAUAAAAAUAAUUUUUUUUUUUUUUACAAAAAACAAACAAAGAGAAAUAUAUAGUUUUCUCUAGAUUCUUCCUUUUAAUUCCUUUAUCUAGUUUCUCUUUCUUUUUCUUUACACAAUUUCCAAACACAGGCUUAAUCAUGGGAGAGAGAGGUUGCUAGGUUGUGUAAUUAGCAAAAUUUCAUGACACGUCUUAUUUGAUGUAAUUUGGAGAUUUAGUUUAUCAAUUACAAGCAUUCGGAAAGAUUUCAAGCAUUCAAAAAGGUUUUUAAGUAUAUUCAUACAAGAUCAUGCUAACAGAGACUUGUAAGAUACAUCGUGGAUGAUAAACGGGACUUCAAGGGAUUUCGAGAGAUGACAAUCAUUAGAUCAUAGAGUUGAUAGAUUUUAAUUGUAAGAGUCUUGUAAUCAUCUGAACAUCGAGUUAUAGUGCAUGAUCUUUGUCCAGAGAAGGGAACACGUGAUUUUUCUUUCAUUCAAGGGUUUCCACGGUAAAAAUCUUGUGUAUUUCUUGGUUAAUGGGUUUGUUUCUUUUUAUAUCUUGAAUCUUACAAUAUUGCACAAAGUCGUGAUAUUCAUUUAAUAUUGUAGUUUUUAGAUCAUUGGGUAAAACAUAGACAAAUGUUAGGUUUUCUAAAUGUCAAUUACACAAAUAGAUACACAGUAUUAUUAUACAUAGAGGGAGCAAUAGCCCACAAGUAGAAGUUUCAGUUUCACCACACCCAUAUUAUUAACAGAUGGAAAUAUAUAUUUAUUCUUGAGAGGUACACACUGAUCACACAUCUACUGCUCCAUACCAAGUAAGCCAGAUAAUGGCAUUUAUAUCUCCAUUAUAUCACUUGAGAUGGUGGGUCUCAAUGUCUUUUGUGAUCUCAAUACAGAGGUCCAUCAAUUUGUUUGGCUCUUCAACAUCUUCUUUCGGCUUUUCAUAGUGAAAGUUCCAUGUCACCGAGGUGUUUUCCCCUUUUGUGUCCACAUGAACAACAAUCAUAAAGGUCUUGUACAGAUCCAUAAGAUCUCCUUCAACAACCUUGAAUGUCACGGACUUGGUUUCUUCUUCAGUUCUUCUAUUGCUUCAACAAUUUCCUUAGCAGCCUUCUCCUUUCUAUCUGUGGUUUUCAUCACAUUAAAUGCAACUUCUUAAGUCAAGCUAGUCAAGGCGUAUCCACAAUUUUAAUUUUGGGGAGCUGAAUAUAUAUAUAAAACACAUAAUUUGUAAAUUACACAUGUAAUAUAUUGGACCUAGAAUUUCUCUCCUAGGUGCUUUCAAUUGCUUGUAAUAAAACAUAAUAUUUUUAUGUAAUUUUUAUAUAUUUUAUAUUUUGAGUAUUUGUCUGUGAAUCCAACCCUAUAGUUGUAAUUUAAAGAAAUUCUGAAACUACGAGGACAAAAGUGCAAUUUUGUACUAGAGGAGGUUAAGAAGACUAUAAAUACAUGAGGGAGGCAACCCUAAUUGGGAGUAAGAGCCAACAAUAUUGUUUAUCCAUGCUCUUUGUGUACUUGAGAGAUUUUUAGAGAAAUCAUUGAGCUUCAUCUUUUCUCUUAAGGUGUGUUUAUCAUAAACUCAUCAAAUCAAGAUUUAAAUCCUUUGGACAUACUCAAAGGCGGAUAGAUUUAAGUUCAAUUCAUAGAUGAUUGUUGAUGAUUCAAUACUCAACCAUUAACUGAAGCGUAGAUCGUGGACUCAGUCAGUACUAGGAUCACAUUCACAUGUUCGAGGAUUUGACACCUAAGGCGCGUGAAUUUAGUUAGAUUGAGUUUGUAAGUUAUAACUUAUAUUUUGCAUAGUGGAUUAGUUGAUCGUACUUAGUUCCAGAUUUUUUUUUCUACUUUGAGAUUUUGCACGUAAAAAAUUGCUUGUUUUUGUGUGUGCUUGAUUUUAUAUUUAUUUGAGGUUUUUAUUUGUUUGGUUAAAUAGCUUCGCAAAUUCAUAAAACGAAUAAAACUAUAUUUUUAAUUUUACAAUUGGUAUCAGAGCGGGUCACUCAAAAUAAAAUAUUUUUUUAUUUUUUUUCAGAGUAUGGUCUGAUUGAUUUGUUUCUAUGUAUAAAUUUGAUCGUAAGAAGCUUGACAAUAUUCAACAAGCCUAUGAUAACUUUGUAAGGAGUCUUAUGAGAAGAACAAAAUUUAUGAAAAAUGUAAUGCAAAAGUGGAAUCACUUAAGAAGUCUUAAGAGAUGAAUAUAAAUAAGAGCUAAUUGAAGCUCAAGCUACCGUGGGUGAAUUGAAUCGUAUAAUGCUACUUUGUCUAAAAAAAAAAUUAUUAUUGAAAAAGAGAAAAAAUAAAUAUUUGAUAAGUUGAAUUUACUUUUUGAAAAACAUUUAAAACCUGACAAAGAUAUGCAUUUGUGUCUUGAGUCAAAAGAUAAUCUUGAGGAAAAAGUGGGUAAAUUAGAAUUUGAUCUUAGUGCUUCUAAUGCUACUCUCGAGAAGUUUAAUGCAGAUUCAAAGGUUUUGGAUGAAAUUAUUUGCGUGCAAAAAUUUUCUUCUGACAAGAGAGGACUUGGAUAUGUUGAUAAGCCUUCAUCUUCUUCCAAAUCGGGGAACAUGGAUAUUUUUGUGAACCCUAAAAAAUGUGGUUCCAAUCUUUCCAAGGCCAACCAAACAAAGGGAUCUCCUAAGAAAACCGUCACAAAUGUAUAGGUAAAAUCAUCUAAUUUUAAUCUUGUUUGCCAUCAGUGUAGUGUCCAUGGUCAUAUUAGGCAUUUAUUGAUUUAAUGAUUGUUUUGAUGAUAUUUGAUGAUGUCAAGGUUUCAUCAUGUAUGGUCUUAAUAUUGAUAUAUGCACAAAAUGUAUAUAUAUAUAUAUAUAUAUAUAUAUAUUAUUUAUCAUAUUAAUACAUAUAUAUUAGAUUCAUGGUAUGAUUAUGCGUAUUCUACAUUAGUAUUUUUCAUUCUAUUAGUAUUAUACACCUUCAAAGUUCAGUCGAUCAAAAUUGCAACUGAAACAAAGUUUGAUUGACUGAAGUUGACUUUUGGUCGGCCGAACUUUCGACCAAAAUUUAAAAUUUUCAAUCCUAACAGUCCAAAUCAAGUUCCAACGGCCCAAAUUAAAUUCUAAUUACUCUAUUACUAUUUCAACAAGUAGAUUUGCUAAGAUGGCUAUAAAUACAACCCUUAACUAGAUGCAAAUUAUGAUGGGAUGAAAUAGGUUUGAUAGGAUUAAUGACCAAUUAAAAUUCUUGUUAAAACUUAUACUAGCAAUGCACUCUCAAUUUAAGCAAAUAUAUAUAAACAACUUAAAAGAGGGGAGAGAAAAUAGUGCAAACGAUUUAUAAUGGUUCAACAAAUCUCAGCCUACGUCCACUCUCCAAACUUCUCAUUGGAAAUUCAUUAUCUUCAAAUUUGUGAGUGCUUGAAAAUCUUUAUAAAUACUAGAACCUUUUAGUCGUCAAGAGAGUCCCUCUCUUAGGAAUUUUACAAUUACUUAUAGUGAUCCUUUCAACAAGAUACAAUAGUUGAAGUGAUUCUUACUUACCAACUCUAGAUCAAGGAUAAAUACAAUCAUAUCUAGAAUGAUCUUGCUCACUUUGAUUUUUGGCAAAUCAAACUCACAAUAAAUGAACAAAUGAUUGAAGUAUUGAAUACAAAUGUUAUUAGGAUUUUAUGGCACUUCAAUACCCUUCCAACAAACCCAAGGAUUGAAUUAUAAGCCAAAAGUUAAAUAGAGUCAUUGCAGCAUGUAAUGCAUCUGAUUAAGCCAUUCUGAUUGAAUCUCAGCCGUUGGAUCUUGAUUUGGACUGCAGGAUUAAAAUGUUCAAACUUCGGUUGACCAAACUUUAAUUAUGGUCGAAAUUGCACUGAGAUUUCAGAGAUUAACUUUUCUUGUUUACUGAAGGGUUGGGGAACUUCGGUCGAGGUUUUGUAACUUUCGAUCGAACGAAUGUCAACUUCGGUUGACAUUGCUCUACAAUUUCAGUAAGCUCUUUAAUCUCUAAUUUGGCUCUUAACUGAUUUCGAUUGAUCGAAUCUUAACUUUGAUCGACUGAACCUUACCUUUAGUUAAGGUUGUACUAAAUUUUCAAUGAGCUCUUGGUUCCUCUAUUUUCACUUCAGCUAUGCUUUCUUAACUUCGGUCGACCAAUUGUGGACUUUGGUUGUAGUUGCUUUGUGUCUCCAGUGAGCUA